rnacentral:rRNA from 1 species
UACAGAGGUCCCAAGCGUUGUUCGGAUUCACUGGGCGUAAAGGGUGCGUAGGCGGUCGGGUAAGUCUGAUGUGAAAUCUCACAGCUUAACUGUGAAACUGCAUUGGAUACUAUCCGACUCGAGGAAUGGAGGGGAGACUGGAAUUCUCGGUGUAGCAGUGAAAUGCGUAGAUAUCAGGAGGAACACCGGCGGUGUAGACGGCUUUCUGGACCGUAGCUGACGCUGAGACACGAAAGCGUGGGUAGCAAACAGG